rfam:Populus trichocarpa scaffold_2_contig_21, whole genome shotgun sequence.
UAAUCUGUCUGGUGCCGAUCUUCAUCUAGUUGGGACAAACCCACACGUACAUGACUGCCCAUAAUCAUUCAUUAUUUAUUCCUCCUCCAAAUAAGAAGUCAAGUAUUAGACAUUGAA